rnacentral:misc_RNA from 1 species
GCCUCUUCAUUUGUGUGCAAGGGUCGUCCUAGCGCAAUUGUUGGGUUUACUUGUGUUGUCUUCCUCCAUGAUGGUAUUGAGUUGUCAUAUCGAAGUGUUUUUCAUUGUGCGUCGCUCAUGGGGCGUGCGGUGAACCAUAAAGUGGCUUCUUUGAUCCAUCUUGUUGAUGCUUGUGUGUUGAUGGCAUGGCUCAUUGGAUGUUGCUUGGUCUCUUGGAUAUGGAACCUUGUUUGGGCAUGGGGUCCUUACCGAUCUUGUCUUUGCCCUUGUCAAGCGUUCUCGCUUCUUUGAACAAUUGUCGGUUGCGUGUUGACUUGCUCAUGCGUGUCUGACGUUGUCGAAGAUGAAUGCUACCUGGUUGAUCCUGCCAGUAGUCAUA